ACGUUAGUGCAUGGUAGACUAUCCUUUAUUUGGGUUCCGAGGUUUAAGAUACCCGCAGCAACUACUUCUGCCGUCUUGGAGUUAUCUUUAAUAUUGUUAGUGCCUACAUGCAAUAUUAUCUCGUCGGGCUUUUUGCGUAGUAAUGGUUUGAUGUAAUCUUGCAUAUCUUCAGCUUUACUCCCUGAAAAGGACUUUACAGAUACACGUUGUUUAUCGUUAGACAAG
rnacentral:lncRNA from 1 species